rnacentral:tRNA from 12 species
GCGGGUGUAAUUCAGCGGCUAGAAUGUCAGCUUUCCAAGCUGAACGUCAGGGGUUCGAAUCCCCUCACCCGCU